rnacentral:rRNA from 1 species
GGGAUAACUUCGGGAAACCGGAGCUAAUACCGGAUAACAUAUUGAACCGCAUGGUUCAAUAGUGAAAGGCGGCUUUGCUGUCACUUAUAGAUGGAUCCGCGCCGUAUUAGCUAGUUGGUAAGGUAACGGCUUACCAAGGCAACGAUACGUAGCCGACCUGAGAGGGUGAUCGGCCACACUGGAACUGAGACACGGUCCAGACUCCUACGGGAGGCAGCAGUAGGGAAUCUUCCGCAAUGGGCGAAAGCCUGACGGAGCAACGCCGCGUGAGUGAUGAAGGUCUUCGGAUCGUAAAACUCUGUUAUCAGGGAAGAACAAAAUGUGUAAGUAACUGUGCACAUCUUGAC